rnacentral:rRNA from 1 species
CCUACGGGAGGCAGCAGUGGGGAAUAUUGCACAAUGGGGGAAACCCUGAUGCAGCAACGCCGCGUGAGUGAAGAAGUAUUUCGGUAUGUAAAGCUCUAUCAGCAGGGAAGAAUAUGACUGUACCUGAUUAAGAAGCCCCGGCUAACUACGUGCCAGCAGCCGCGGUAAUACGUAGGGGGCAAGCGUUAUCCGGAUUUACUGGGUGUAAAUGGAGCGUAGACGGCCGUGCAAGUCUUGAGUGAAAGCCCAGGGCCCAACCCCGGAACUGCGUGUGAAACUGUGCGGCGAGAGUACUGGAGGGGCAGGCGGAAUUACUAGUGUAGCGGUGAAAUGCGUAGAUAUUAGGAGGAACACCAGUGGCGAAGGCGGCCUACUGGACAGUAACUGACGUUGAGGCUCGAAAGCGUGGGGAGCAAACAGGAUUAGAUACCCGGGUAGUC